UGUGAGAGCGGGCUUGCUCGCGAAGGCGGUGGGUCAGUUUGCAUUGAUGUUGAAUGUGCCGGCCACUUCGCGAGCAAGCCCGCUCCCACA
rnacentral:misc_RNA from 1 species